CCAUUGGAUCUUGACUAUAAUUAAUGAAGAUAAGAAUAUGAUAUAUUUAUUGGACUCUUUGAGUAAUAGGAACCGAGAUCAUGCUUGGCAAACUAUUGUGACCAAUGGGGUCAAAAUAUACAAUGCAUCAAGGGGUAUUUCAAAAGGACCAGGUUUUAAACAAUUGACAGGUAAUCUUAAACAAAAUGGUGGUGUUGAAUGUGGAUAUUGUGUGAUGCGGUACAUGAAAGAGAUAGUCUUAGAUGAAUAUCCACAAUUGGAGAGGAAGAUG